CUGUUAAGUGUUUGGGUUUAAAAAAGGUGCAUCAUUUAGAAUUAUCGAGGCUCUUUUUUUUAAACUGAAUAAGGAAUAACUAAAAGCUGUUAGUCAACUGCUUAGUCAUCGUGCUCCACUGAACUUCAUUCACCGCAGGCAAACCAGUCGUAGGCUAGCGGUGGAUGCUAACUUGCUAAUGUCAAUGAAAUCUGUUGGACCGCUGAAGAAAUGUCUACCAGAGACUGGUGCAGGAGGUGUAUUCGGAGUUGUUUUAACACACGGAAUGCGUUGACAUUUGUGACUCUAUCGGCUGUUGUUGUGGGUGUUGCUAUUGGCUUGGUUUUGAAGACCUUUACAACUCUAACAUUGUACGAGAGAGCUUGGCUUCGCAUUCCCGGAGAAUUUCUUUUCCGGCUGAUGCAGUUUGUUACUGUCCCUCUGCUGAUGACAAAUGUGAUACUCGGAAUUGCAGGUGCCACUCUCAGUCCCUCCAAAAAGAUCACUCGAUGUGCAUUAACAUACUUUGUCUUUACAACAAUAAUAUCUUUGCUGAUAGGAAUCACACUGACAAUGCUGAUUAAACCAGGGCUGACUGCAAAUCCCGAAAAAUCAGAUGAAAUUUCUGAGUCUGAUGAUGCCUACGACACCAUUGAUGCCCUGUCUGAUCUAAUAAGAAACCUCAUUCCACACAAUCUGAUUCUGCUGAGCUACAAACAGUACAAGACUAGGAAGGUGUACAUAAAUUCACAGACGACCAACAAUACCGUUCCGGAAACUAUAGACGUGCAGUUAGUAGGCGAAAACAUGCGAGGAGUUAACAUGCUCGGAUUGAUAGUGGUGUCAGUUUUCAUUGGGAAGAGCAUUAGGAAGAUUGGAGCUGUGGGCGGAACUUUUCUGGAGGUCAUCAACACCGUCAACAUUGUCUCCAAAAGUUUGGUGAAAAUAAUAAUGAUCUAUUUUCCCAUUGCAGUGAUGUUCAUGAUGGCAAGCUAUGUUCAUACCAUUGCAGACGACUGGCAGACUGUUGUUAGCCUUGGCAAGUUCAUCACCGUAAUUAUUACUGGACUUCUCAUCCAUGGUUUUUUGGUGUUGCCACUCAUCUGCUUCUUGUGCAUGAGAAGGAACCCCUACCCGAUCUUUCCAGGGAUUGCACCUGCAUUGCUCAGGGGGAUGCUCGUUUCACGCUCUUAUGCGGCAUCAGAGACAUUCAGUUGUUGCGAAGAUAGGCUGAGGAUCAAUAAAAGAAUAACUCGCUUCAUGCUGCUCAUUGGGAUCCACGCCAAUAUGGAUGGAACGGUCCUUUAUGAGAUGGCUGCUGCCCUGUUCAUUGCUCAACUCUCAGGCUCCAGGUUGCACUGGAGCAAGAUCAUCAGCAUUGCUGUGACAGUGGCAGUGGCCACUCUGGGAGAGGCAGGAAUCCCCGCUACAGGAAUGAUGACCACCCUCUUUAUUUUGACCAUCAGUGGGAUUCCAGUGAGACCUGCCUCCCUUUUGCUCUCCAUUGAAUGGCUGCUAGAUCGCCUCAAUGCCGCUGUCAAUAUCAUGAGCGACUGUUUUGGUGUCUUUCUCGUUGCUAAUGUGUCAGAAGGAGAACUGAAAAAAAUGGAGGAGGAGAUGCCUUAUGAGCAUCUACCAGAACCGUGGAAGCCACCAGAGGAGGAGUUGUAAAGAUGAAGCGAUGAACAUCAGCAUUUCAAUUUUUUGUGCCAUUUGCAUAUUUAUCACCUUUUGCCUCUUAUUUUGACAGUAAUCCGACAGAAGGAGGUUGAGAGAAGUGCUGCAAAGGAACUGAAGAAAGGAGUUGAACUUGGGACUUCCACAUAUAUGUAGCCUCUCCGUAUGAGGCGCCUGCUCUAACCGCUGCGCCACACGACACCCCUGUGAUAUGUAUGUUUCUCCAUCUAUGCUGUAUGUUAUAUAUAGCAAUUUGUUCAGAAGUGAGGUGUCUAAAUGGAUCUUGUCAUUAUCAAUAAAGUGUAGAAACUAUCAUAAAUA